rnacentral:rRNA from 1 species
GGCCACGGCCAUAGCGCGACGUUGAACACACACCGUUCUCGUCGCAUGCACUGGAAGUUAAGCAAGCGUCCGGGCGCCGGUUAGUACUUGGAUCGGGUGACCCGCCUGGGAACCCCGGUGGCUGUUGGUA